CGGUCUUCUCUCUGACAGGCGGAGGAGAAAAACUGGACAUGAAAACUAUGAAGGUCAAAUGUUUCUGUCUUUUCUCUCUGCAGCUCCCAUCGAUUCACCUCAUUCAGCUGCAGUGCGGCUAUGGAUGAGAAGUAAAGAAUCGUCUUGAGGGCAUGCGCAACAUUUCCAGAUUGACUCUUCAAACGUCGGGAGGAAAAAUGUUUUCUGGCUCUGCUGAUGCGUCUCAGGUUCUCCAUCCUCAGAUGGCGGUCCAGGCCCGCCACCCGCAGGAUUUUUGGGAACUCAUCCAUCAUUUGGCCAGCAGCAGAAGAAGAAGAAGAAGAAGAAGAAGAAGAAGAAGAGUCCUCCAGGUGGAGUGUCAGGUGAGUUUGCUCUAGGGGUGAAGGAUUGUAAGUCACUGUUCGUGUUUAUCGCUGCUCUCAACCUGGAGUGUCGGCCAGAACACCAGUUAGGCCAGGAUUCAGCUCAGGACCAGAUGUCAGGAUGAGGUGCA